AGGGAUCAUUACCGAGUUUUCAACUCCCUAACCCUUAUGUGAACCUACCUAUUGUUGCUUCGGCGGACUCGCCCCAGCCGGACGCGGACUGGACCAGCGGCCGCCGGGGACCCUCAAACUCUUGUAUUAUCAGCAUCUUCUGAAUACGCCGCAAGGCAAAACAAAUAAAUCAAAACUUUCAACAACGGAUCUCUUGGCUCUGGCAUCGAUGAAGAACGCAGCGAAAUGCGAUAAGUAAUGUGAAUUGCAGAAUCCAGUGAAUCAUCGAAUCUUUGAACGCACAUUGCGCCCGCCAGCAUUCUGGCGGGCAUGCCUGUUCGAGCGUCAUUUCAACCCUCGACCUCCCUUUGGGGAAGUCGGCGUUGGGGACCGGCAGCACACCGCCGGCCCUGAAAUGGAGUGGCGGCCCGUCCGCGGCGACCUCUGCGUAGUAAUCCAACUCGCACCGGAACCCCGACGCGGCCACGCCGUAAAACACCCAACUUCUGAACGUUGACCUCGAAUCAGGUAGGACUACCCGCUGAACUU
rnacentral:rRNA from 1 species